GCGCCUAUCGUCCAACGGACAGGGCACCGGUUUACGGAACCGGGAAUGGGGGUUCGAGUCCUCCUGGGCGCG
rnacentral:tRNA from 1 species